AUGACAAUCAAUAAAGCUCAAGGCCAAACCAUUCCACAUGUUGGUAUCUACCUUCCAGAACCUGUUUUCUCUCACGGUCAACUAUAUGUUGCAUUGUCUCGAGGAAUAUCAAGGCAAACAACAAGAAUACUUGCCAAGCCAAAUAAGGAUAUUGACCCAUCGGGAAAAAGUACCAAAAAUAUUGUCUAUAAGGAGUUUUUGGCAUGA
rnacentral:rRNA from 1 species